rnacentral:rRNA from 1 species
CGGACGGGUGAGUAAUGUCUGGGAAACUGCCCGAUGGAGGGGGAUAACACUGGAAACGGUAGCUAAUACCGCAUAACGUCGCAAGACCAAAGAGGGGGACCUUCGGGCCUCUUGCCAUCGGAUGUGCCCAGAUGGGAUUAGCUAGUAGGUGGGGUAACGGCUCACCUAGGCGACGAUCCCUAGCUGGUCUGAGAGGAUGACCAGCCACACUGGGACUGAGACACGGUCCAG